GGGCCCAUAGCUCAGCGGUAGAGCGGCCGGCUCAUAACCGGCUGGUCCUUGGUUCGAAUCCAGGUGGGCCCA
rnacentral:tRNA from 1 species